UAUCCAUGAUCACUUGGUAAUUUGAGAUUUAGAAAGGCUCUUCUUCGCUGGGAAGAGGACGAUGAGAUCUUGUGAUGAAGAAAUUUUCAUAGAUAAACCCAGCGAGUCCACCACCAAUAAGGGGUCCAACCCAGUAAACCCAGUGGUCUGUCCAGUCCCAGCUAACCAAAGCAGGUCCAAAUGAUCGUGCUGGGUUCAUUGAUGCUCCAGAGAAUGCCCCACCAGCCAAGAUGUUGGCUCCAACUACAAAGCCAGUCAGCAUUGGACCUAGCCCAUCAAUGGAUCCCUUCUUGGGGUCGACAAUGGUGGCAUAGACUGUGAACAGCAAGGAGAAAGUCAGUACGAUCUCCCAUACUACUCCUUGAAG
rnacentral:lncRNA from 1 species